CAUUCUUCGAGCUGCAUAUACCUUACAGAAGAGGAAGAGAAAUGAGCUGAAGAAAUUGGCAUGAAAAGACAUUAAAACAAAGAAACAGACACAGGGAGAAACACGCAACAGUAACAACUGACUGGGAAGGUGAGGCAACUCAGGUUAUCAGGUUUUCUCAAGGAUUUCGACAAUGCUGCUCCGCUCAGGCCGCCAAAAGCCGUACGAAGUGCUUGCCUCUGGAAGGCAACUGGCUAAAGGCAAAUCUCUGCAGUGCAAUACAGCAGCAGCUUCUGAAAAGUCAGCAAGAGAUGCCAGGUAUCGCCCAGAAGGCUGCUAUUUUAGGUAAACAGAUGGACCCUAAAACUCUUGUUUGUAUGCAGAUCCAAUUUUCAAAGUGGAAAUUUGGGAGACAGGCAGUAAAAUUGCCAGUGUUUAGACUGCGAAAAACAGUGAAGUGCUAUUUACUGACUGAAGAUUCAAAAACAGUGCAUUUUGACUUAGAUGAAGAUGGUCAUCAUGAAAUAUCAACCAAAGAUUCACAGUCCCAUGAAGAUAUCGCGUGGUUAAGCAUGUUCACAAGCAAUGAACCAGCAGUUAGUGCAAAAACAUGCUCUAAAAAUGUGGUGGUCCUCACACAGAGAUCAAAGCAUAACGAAUUUGUCCUGUUGUGCAAGGGUAAAAAGCAGCUCUGUCUGAAGGUCUUAAAAGGAUGUUGUUCAGAGCCAGAUUAUCCUUCAAUGAGAAGACGCAACAGGAAAACAUGCAAGCACGAAGAUCCUGACUUCAAACAGCUGAGCGAAGAUAAUCACUUUUUCAUCAUGCAUUGUGAAGGAGAGUCAGUGAAAUUCCAGUGCUAUGAAGACACAAAUUACUUUCUGCAUGUGAAUGAUGACUCACUUGAUAUACGCAAGCCAGAUCACAAAGACCCCAAUGGAGAGAAAAAUUUUUUCUUCAGGGUGUCAUACUUAUAG
rnacentral:lncRNA from 1 species